UACGGGGGGGCAAAGCGUUGUUCGGAAUUACUGGCGUAAAGCGCGUGUAGGCGGCUAUGCAAGUCGGAUGUGAAAGCCCUCGGCUCAACCGGGGAAGUGCACCCGAAACUGCAAAGCUAGAGUCUCGGAGAGGAUCGUGGAAUUCUCGGUGUAGAGGUGAAAUGCGAUAGAUAUCGGGAGGAACACCAGUGGCGAAGGCGGCUACCUGGCCCAUUCUUGACGCUGAGGCGCGAAAGCUAGGGGAGCAAACGGG
rnacentral:rRNA from 1 species